rnacentral:misc_RNA from 1 species
CGCACAUUGCGCCCUUUGGUAUUCCGAAGGGCAUGCCUGUUCGAGCGUCAUUACACCAAUCAAGCCUGGCUUGGUAUUGGGCCCCGGGGGCGACCCGGACCUCAAUGUGACCGGCUGGAGUGACCAAAUCUCAGCGUUGUGGCAAUCAAUUCGCUGGUGAGAUGGGUGCGCCGUGCCGUUAAACCUCUCUAAGGUUGACCUCGGAUCAGGUAGGGAUACCCGCUGAACUUAA